UUCAAGAUUUCAAGGUGCAUAGAAUAGUCAAAUAAUUGAGAUAUAAUAAUCAUGCUAAUGUUAUUAAUUGGACUUGCAGCAGGGAUGAAGACAAUAUAUGCUAAGGCCAUGCCAGGUUUUGACAGCCAUCAAACAGCUGAUUUACCUAUGCCUUGUGGCACCACAAGCCACACUUGCUAGCAAAAAUCCGUCUGUAAGAUCUUCAAGGAGAGAAAAUAGACUCUAAAAAUUAGCUGGAUUCGAGCCUGGUCAGCUGGCAUUUUUAGUGCUGACAUAUCCGGUAGUUCAGGUUGUGUGUGUUGCUUGCAGGAGCUGCAUCAUGGAGUGGUGCAAUGAAAAGCCUGAAUGUCAUCUCUCCUGUACUCCCAUUACUCAUUCAAAUUUAGUUUGUAUAUAUCAUGCUGAUUCUGAACAUGAUAUAGUCAAAUCUCGAGUACUAUUGAAUUGGGGGAAUAUAAAUUUUGAUUUUGUAUGGCAAUGGAAUUGGAAGAAGAUAACAGUGGAGACCAAUCACCAGCUCUAAUCAAAUUGACAAGAUCGCGCCGUUUGAAGAAUGAACAUCUUCAUCAUAUACAUAAAAUAUGGAUCUAGUCACAUGUACCAUAAAAGAAUCAGUAUUUCAAACAUUACAAGACUCUUUGAUCAAAGGUAAUUUCCGCUCCCUUUUCAUAUAAGCUAUCUUGAUUUUUCCUGUAACAUUACCAUGACUUAUGUUUCAAAAAAACCGGUAUAGAUAAUUCUAAGCAUUUUAUUCAUUUUCUUUUAUUAUUUUUAUUUGCUUAAUAUAAAUAUGAGGACCGAUAGUAGACAUGCCCAAAUGAAGAGAUGGCUAAACAAGUAUCACUUUCUAACAUGUCCAUGAUUAAAAAAAAAAUGAUACUUGUUGUGUCAAUUGUUAUGUCAAUCAUUACUAGUUUUCUUUGGUUUGUAGCUCAACUCAGGUGCAACUAUCAUAGAAUCAUGAUUUGCUAAUGCAUCUAGAGAUUUAGUAUGAAGCAUUAUGCAUGAUGUAGGCAUAAUUUUUUUUUGUCUAGUAUUCCAUUUUAUUACAUUAAAAGUGUGAUAAUAAUAGAGGUCCACCAUGCUCUACAACAUCCUUUAUGUCAAAGGUCCCCUCCAUGUUUUAGGUGGUUUAAUGCCAACCAUUUAGAAAGCAUCACCUCUUAAAAUUCUCUUUUUCUUGCUUUAAUGAUUGAGCAUUUUCUUUUGCUGGGAGAAUUGGAAAAUGGAGAUAUUACAGCCAUGUUUUCUCUAACCAUUAAAACAACUCGGUUGAGAAAUAAUGUUCUGUACGACCCAUCAUUCGAGACUUCAAGAUAGUUGACCACAGAAAUGAAAGAUUAAAUUGACUUGGCACAAUUAUUACUCGAAGGAGAAAGGACUAAUCAUGUUGGUUCCCAGAUCAGAGUGCAUCAACAGGUAAGAGGACUUGUACUAGUUUAGAUGGUUAGCAUGGUCCACUUGAAAUAGUAUAAUAGUAUCUACAGGACUGGUUUAUGUACCAAUUCAAUAGUAUAAGACUGCAUCAAUUGCAUCACCUGAAGCAUUUACAAGAUUUCUUUUUUAGUUCUUCUGAGUUAUAGUGGAAGAAGAGUUGUAUAAGGUAUUCUCAGAAGGUGAAACAUGCAAAUUGAGCAUACACAACAAUAAGAACAUUUGUAUACUGACCUU